rnacentral:lncRNA from 1 species
ACCCCCCAGCGGAAAAAUGGCCCAAAAACGGGUGGGCUAUAGCCUUGGCGGGGGGCGUGGGCGAAGUUUGUCCGCCGGACUCGGAAUGGCCCCAGACUUUGCGGGCGGCCUCCGAGUGCCAAAAAUAGGCCACGGGCACAGCCGCGCCGAAAAAUGAGCGCCUGAAGGUCGGGGCGCCAACACCCCCCAGCGGAAAAUUGGCCGAAAUACGAGUGGCCUAUAGCCUUGGUGGGGGGCGUGGGCGAAGUUCGUCCGCCGGACUCGGAAAGGCCCCAGACUUUGCGGGCGGCCUCCGUGU